UCUUGCGCAAUGGUCGAAAGACUGACGCAGCGACGCCGCGUGGAGGAUGAAGCCCUUCGGGGUGUAAACUCCUGUUGCCCGGGACGAACCUCCCUUUUCGAGGGGACUGACGGUACCGGGUGAGGAAGCACCGGCUAACUCUGUGCCAGCAGCCGCGGUAAUACAGAGGGUGCGAGCGUUGUCCGGAAUCACUGGGCGUAAAGGGCGCGUAGGCGGUUUCUCAAGCGUGCGGUGAAAGCUCAGGGCUCAACCCUGAGUCGGCCGUGCGAACUGGGAGACUGGAGCACGGUAGAGGCACAUGGAAUUCCGGGUGUAGCGGUGGAAUGCGUAGAGAUCCGGAAGAACACCGGUGGCGAAGGCGGUGUGCUGGGCCGUUGCUGACGCUGAGGCGCGACAGCGUGGGGAGCAAACAGG
rnacentral:rRNA from 1 species